CGCUGCUCCAAAGAGCGCACAGAUGCUCUCUGCAGGGUUGGAUAGUGAUAUUACAAAUGUCUCCCAGUUUCAAACUUGGGCAGGGUUUUUAAAACUUGGGUCUCCAGAGACUGUUGGACUACAACUCCCAUAAUCCCCAGCCACAUUGGCCUUUGACAUACUGACCGUGAACCUGGAGGAAUUAUGUAGCCAUAGUAACCAACAGCCGCUGAUUGACUUUCACCCCAUGAAUCUGUCUAAUCCCUUUAAAGCCAUCUAGACUAGCGGCCAUCCCCACAUUAUGGCAAGAAAGAAUAGAUAAUGAAGAAAAGAAAGGGAGGGAGAUGCGAAAGAAAGGAACAUGAACAGAACUGAUGCAUCCACAAACAGUAACAGCUGAAGCCUCAAGGGAGAUGUACCUGAUAAAUGGCUUCAUCACAGGCAUUAUGUAGACCCAGAUUCACCAUCGUGUUUUGAAGUGUUCGGCCCAUGUAGAAUUCCAAAGAUAGGUAAUAAAUGCGCUAGAAAAAUAGAGGAAAAGAGCAGUGAGAUUUUAUGUGGAAUGUAGAAAUUCUUACCCUGACUUAAACAGUACCACAGUCAAGAAUCAACGAGUUGCAAUGUUGUUGUUAUU